rnacentral:rRNA from 1 species
AUGGAGAGGGACUUCCUGGGCACCAUAGGCCACGAGCAGCUGCAGCAGCGCCAGCGCGCCGCCGCCGAGGACGCCGCCGCCAGAAAGGAGUCAGCUUACUUUGGGGGAGGAGGAGUGCCGCCCAUGGAUUGGUCCUUCGCUGGCAGGGCCGGGGCCGCGCCGGCGGUCAUGUCCUUCAGGUCGGCGCCGAGGGAGGAGCAGCGGGGCGAGCUCGCCUACCCCAAGCAGCAGGCCUCCCGCGUCCUGACGCCACAGAGAUCGUUUGGUGCUGAGAGCCACGGCAGCGUGCAGUACGCCGCCGCCGCGCGUGCGGCUUACGGCGGGCAGCCUCCGCAGCAGCACCAGCAUGCUCCUAAUGGUGCUAGAGUGAUUCCAAUGUCGUCGCCGUUCAAUCCCAACAAUCCCAUGUUCAGGGUUCAGAGUUCGCCUAACCUCCCGAACGGUGUUGCUGCUGGUAGCCCGUUCAAACAACCGCCUUUCGUGAUGAACAAUGCGGUGGCUGCUUCGACUGUUGGUGUCUAUAAAUCAAGGGACACGCCGAAGCCAAAGACAGCGCAAUUAACUAUCUUCUAUGCUGGUUCUGUCAAUGUAUUCAACAACGUCUCAGCAGAAAAGGCUCAGGAGCUUAUGUUCUUGGCUAGCAGAGGAUCUCUUCCAACCGCACCCACUACUGUUACUCGCAGCCCAGAUGCAACCUUUUUCACUCCGGCUAAACUCGCCGCCCCUGAGGCUUCACCUGCAAAGCAGAUGCUAGCUCAGAUACCACAGCGUGUUUCACCUCCUUUGCCAGCCAUUUCCAAACCGAUGUCCAUCAUGUCUCAAGCUGCAUGUCUCCCCAAGAGCACAUCUAGCUCCAACACCGAUUCCGCAGUGCCAAAAUCUUCAGGCCAGUUGGUUGUGCCUCCCACAAGUCAGCCCUCGUCGUCGACACUAGCGUCCACCACUGCAGCAAGUAUUAUGCCAAGAGCUGUUCCUCAAGCUCGGAAGGCAUCCCUUGCCCGAUUCUUGGAGAAAAGGAAAGAAAGGGUGACGACUACGGCGCCAUAUCCAUCAGCCAAGAGCCCGAUGGAGAGCAGCGACACGGUCGGAAGCGCCAACGACAACAACAGCAAGUCCUCAUCGUGCACAGAGAUCGCCUUCUCAAGCAACCAUGAAGAGUCGCUGCGCCUAGGCCGGCCCAGGAACAUCAGCUUUAGCGGGGAGUCCCCGAGUACAAAAUUACACAUCUGA